rnacentral:sRNA from 1 species
AUGUGGAUGAGGUUACAGCUCCUGAGCAUGGAGCGCGAGAGAUCUGUCACUUCUGAUGGUGGUGAAAUUGAUGAGGUGGCAAUGGCAGACAAGAUAUAUGCUAGGAUUGCUAGAGCAAUCCAAGGUGGUGAAUGUUUGAAGGAGGGUUGCUCUUUUGGGGAGUUCCAUAAGCAAAACCCUCCAAAUUUUGAUGGGGAGCUUGAUCCUAUGGGCAGAGAAUUGGCUGCUAAAGAUGGAAAAAUUACUGAGAGCCCUUGAAUGCACUAAUGCUCAAAAGGUGGUGUAUGCCACUUUUGCCCUUCAGGGUUCUACUGAGAGACGGUGGUCAAGCACUGAGCAAUUGUUGAGGAUGGAGUUGGGAGGGGACACUCCCAUUACUUGGGAGAAGUUUAAGGAAGUUUUCAAUAGGACAUACUUUCCUGAUGUAGUAAGGGACCGUAAGGCAAGAGAGUUUUCUGAUUUGGUUCAGGGGGCUAUGACGAUGGAGGAGUAUGCUACUAAAUUUGUUGAGCUUUCUCGCUUUGCUCCUUACUUGAUUCUGGAUGAGCCCAAGAAAGUAAGUAAAUUUCAUAAAGGUCUUAAUGAUAGGAUUCGCCCCCACAUUAUAGCUUCUGGAGUGGGCACUUUUACUAAGAUUGUGAAGCGAGCAAUGAGUCUUGAAGAAGACUUUAAGUGCAACCUUGGCUCCAAGAAUGAUGAAAAGAAGCAAGAACCCUCUGGUUUUCAACAUGGAGAGGGUCAAGGGAAAAAUUUCAUGAAGGGGUUCUUUAAGAAGUCGGGUAAUGGGGAUCAUUCUAAUGGGAAAGACAAAGGUGCCUCUCUUCAGUCAAGUGGAAAGAAGCCUUGCUCCCGUUGUGAUAGAUUUCAUAAUGGUUAUGCUUGUGGUGGAGUUAAGUUGUGCUACAAUUGUAAGAAACCAGGUCACUUUGCUAAAGAAUGUCCAAUUGCUAGGGGCUUGGGUUCUUCUUCUUUGCCUCAAACUAUUAAGGGUAAUAACAAUGGGAAAAUGGUGCAAGGUAGAGUGUAUGCAUUGACUGCUCAAGAUGCUCAGGCCAGGAAUACAGUGGUGACAGGUAUACUUCCUUUGUUCUCCAAAGAUAUUAGAGUUCUUUUAAUAUUGGUUCCAUGCAUUAUUUUGUUCCUAGUGCUUUACUAAAAGUUGUGACAAGAGCUUGGAACUACUUGAUUUUAAGUUAUUAGCUUCUACCCCAAUUGGUGAUAUUAUAUGGAAUAGUUUCAUGCUCAAGUCUUGUCUCUUUUAUCGGGGGUAGAGAGUUAUUAGCUAAAUGGUGUUGCUAGAUAAUCAUGAUUUUUAUGUUAUCCUAGGCAUGGAUCAGUUGGCUUCUCGUUAUGCUUGUAUGAAUAUUUAGGGAGAAUGAUAGGUCUAUGAGGUUAUGUACCAACUACCGUGAUCUAAAUUGAGUUACCAUUAAGAGUGCAUAUCCCUUGCUUUGCGUUGAUGACUUGUUGGGCUAGUUGCAAAGAACACAAGUAUUUUCUAAGAUUGAUCUUGUUUUGGCUACCGCUAUUCAAAAAUUUGGGAAAUACCAAAGAUAGCCUUUUAGGCUAGGUAUGGUCAUUAUGAGUUCUUAAUGGUGCUAUUUUUGAUUAAUUAAUGCCCCUACUACCUCUAAGGAUUUGAUGAAUGUGGCAUUUCAUGAUUAACUGGAUAAUUUUAUCAUUGUGUUCAUUGAUAAUAUUUUGACUUAUUCUGAGAGUCUAGAAGAGAAGAGGAACACUUGAGGAUUAUUAAUCGAAAAUAAUAAUACUAAGAGAAAGUAAGUGGUUGGUUAAAUUGAGCAAGUGUGAAUUUUGAUUGGAUCAAGUAGUGUUGUUAAGUUAUGUGAUCUCUAAGGAUGGAAUUACAUUGGAUCUUAGUGGGAUGUAAGAAUCAUGAGAAAGAUUUCCCCACAUGACUUGGAGUUAGUUGCAGUUGUGUUUGUUUCAAAAUUUGGAGCCAUGAUUUGUAUGAAAGAUAUGAUAUUUGUAUGGAUCAUAAAAUUUUAAAGUAUCUUUUUAACCAGAAUGAGCUAAAUAUGGGACAACAAAGAUGGCUUAAAUUGUUUAAGGACUAUGAUUGCUUUAUUAAUUGUCACCUUCGUAAGGCUAUGUCAUUGUUGGUGUGCUUAGUAGAAAGUCUCCGGUUAUUUUUUUUAGUUGCUUUGCAUACAACCUAAAGGAAAAUAUUAUUGAUCUAGAAAGGUUGAGAAUUGAGGUGUUAUAGGCCAUUUAGAGGCCUACUUGGCUAGUUGAGAGUUCAACCAACUCUAGUAAAGAAAAUUAAAUUGUUGCAAGGCAGUGACUAUUAUUUGAUAUAGAUAAGGUGCAUAAUGUAAAGAGAUCUAAGGUUACUAUGUACAAUUCUGGGGACGGAAUUUUUAUAAAAGGGGGAGAAUGUAACAUCCCAGUCAAGGUUAAAAAAAAAAAAAAAAAAAAAAAAAAAAAAAAAAAAAAAAAAAAAAAAAAAAAAAAAAAAAAAAAAAGGGGAUCAGACUUUAUGGUCACACAUGCCCCACCUAACCAUUUGCUCCCCACCACAUCCUUACAAAUAUCUCCCUCACACUUUGGCCGACUCUACCUCUCACUUUGCUCUCUUUUAUUUUCUUUUCACACAACACUCUUCUUUCACUCUCAUCCUCUCCCACCGGUACACUCCACAUCACCUCCACCAUUUUUCUAGCUAGAUCACCAGAAAACUCCAUAGGAAAAUGGUAAGACUCACUCACCUCUACUAUUUGAGUAAAAAUAAAUUAUAAUAUUUUUGGUGCGUUUAUAUGCUUUUGCUUGAGGUUAAGUUUAUCUAAGCUUUAACAAUAAUACCCAUGCGAUUCAUAAGCAUUAGAAGUGAUAUUUAUGCAUUUUUAUGUAUGGAUUUUGUCUCGGUAGAUUUAUUUGAUGAGUGGGUUUAUAGUUUUUACAAUGGUGGUUAGCUAAGUGGUGAAGAUUUGGGGGUUUUGGAUUUUUAAUGUGAAAUAAAUGGUGAAUAAAAUUUUUAUUGAUUAUUUGGAGCUAAUUAACUAUUCAAAUCAUUUGUCUUGGAGGAUAUUAUGAUAUUUGGUAUCAUAGGUCUCUUGUUGAUGUGGUGUAAAUCUUGUGAGAAGUAUUUAGAAGGUGUUGAGGUUUCGAUGUUAGAGAUAAUAUCUUGAAUGGGUUAAUUUUUUAAAUUGGAGUCUAUGCCUUGUGAAUGAAUUGGUUGAAAAACUUUGAAGCUGGAAAAUAUUUUUGUGAGGCUUAAAUACUAGGCUUGCCUAAUCAAGGUGCUUAUUUGACAAUUUCUAUUUUGUAGCUAGAUACAAUUUCAAGCUUUAAGCUUAUUAUGAUAGGUAUGCCUAAUAUUGUUUAGGUUCUAACUAAUCUCCUUUGGAGCUUGGAGAGUUAAGCUUUUUGAGGGUUGUAAGGUAAGUAGCUUUUUAAUGGGAUAUUUUUGAAAAUACCCAUGUUGCAUAAAGCAUUGUUUUUGGGUUAAACACAUUUUGGGAAAUUGUUUAUGGAAACUUUAUUUUCCUAGAAAGCUUUAUGUUGUGAAAAGAGCAUCAUAUUUGGUGAUGUAUAUGGAGAAAUGCAUGAUUUGUUGGCAUGGAAAAGAUAAGUAUCUUUUAUAAAAUUCUUGGGAAUAUAUUUUAUGAAUUUAUUGCAUUUUUUGCAAAUUCUAAAGAUGCUUUAUCUUAGCUUUUAUUAUUUGGGAAAUUUACACAAAAUAUUUAUGGCAAGAAAUAGUUUAGAGGACUUUGAGAAUAUUUUGGCUAUUUGGUUAUUGAAAUAUUUUAUGAAACUAUUUGGAAGUGAACUAUGUAUUUCAAAUACAUUAACUUGUGAGCUUUUGACAUGGUUUUGUCAUUGUGCCAUGAUAUUAGUGAUUACCCCAUCUGUGUGACGACUCGUCUAUGUGAUGACCCCGUCUCUGUGAAACCUUGUCAUGUGGCCUUGGGUAGGGUUUCUAGAUUUGAAAUGGUAUUGAAUAUUUUAUGGCUCACAAUGAAUAAUAUGUAGUUUCAUGGUUACUUUGGAAAGCUUGGUGCUCCAAUAUGCCUAUCAUUCUUGUCAUGAUGUUAAGGAAAUUUAUUUUGCAGAAUUUAAAUAGAAAUUCCCAAAUUUUAGCAUGUUUUUAAAAUGUUCAUUAUCAUGAAACUUGCAUUUCCCCACCCCCAUUAAUUAUGCUACUUACUGGGCUGUCUCAUUCCAUUAUUUUACAAACUUUUCAAAGUAGGCAACUAUCGUUUUGAGACAGCUGUUUGGUGACUAGUAGUAGUUAGACUAACUACUGAUGGAGGCCGACCUUUGUGAUAGAGAUAAUUGAUGAUGUAUAACUUAGAAUAGGCUUGACCCAAUUCUUUUGUAUCUAAUAAUGGUUAUGCCUUUAUUUCCACUAUUGUGACAAGUUGAUGAUAUGUAAUUAUUUAUUUAGACCUCCAUUAUUUUGUGACUAAUGGUCAUUGUAUUUAUUGCAUAGAGCUCUGACUUACUUUGGGAGUAUAUUUAAUGGAAUUAUUAUGAUAAUUCUUGAUGUUAGUACUUGAUAAGAUUUUAUUUGGAUUGAAUUGCCAAAAGGAUCAAAAUCUACAGGCAACUUUGAGAUGUUUUUCUCAUGCUUUAAACCCUUUUGGGUUUGAGGCGUGACAGCCCAUGUCACAUAUCCCUUACCUGAAAAUGGAACACGUGGGAGAUUUGUACAAGAGGAGCUCAAGUGUCCAUGUUCUCGUUCUCGUCACCUAAAUAAAAGACCAAAACUUAUUAUUGACAAACUCUUCCUAAGUAUUUAAACUUAUACAUAAAUCAUAACCUAACUCUCAAACUCAAGAAAAUCUUAAUUCCUAUCGCACAAAGUUUCCCUAAACAAACAAGGUACAUUCAUUAAACACAUUACAUACCAAAACAUAAAGAAACCAAGGCAUAAAAAUUCAUCUAUGAUCUAGACAUACCAAAAGAUAAGCGUAUUAAAUUAUAGCUCAAAACAUUCACCCUAACUUCAAAAUUAAAUCCACAAAGUUAGAUGUAUCAUAUGUUGUUCACCGUUCAUUUCAGCAGCAUAUAACCCAUUUGUAAAAUACAAAUGGGCUGUCCAUACACAUCCAAAUGUCAUGUAAUUUUACGAAAAUACUCCACUGGAUGUCUAGUAUAUACCAUAACAAUUUCAGAGUCAAAGCAUAAAACUAUGAUAUAUUAAAAAGAAUACAAGGCAGUAUGCUCAAAUCUGUCCAAACAGAAUUUCUUGCAACUUAGAAAUUAAACCAUUAUUUUUGUAUUCAUCCAAAUGAUGUGAGACCACUUCCAUAACAACCAUGUGUGUCUUAAAAUUCAUAAAGCUACCCCUAGCAUCCUAAUUCAUAGAAAAAGAUUUAAUAUAGAUUGUUCUUGUUGUAGACAUCAAAUCUGUCACAGUGACAACUUUAGCACAUGUUCUUACAAAAUCAUCAACUAAUAGCAUUAGGCCUUCAUUUCAUUUGAGUAUUUUUAUACCUAUACUAUACAUAUUAAAAUACAUUAAUUAGCAUCCAAAUGACCAUAAUAUCAUCAAUCUUUCAAAUUACUAAAACAGAAUCACAAAUUCAGCUUCUAAAAUCAAAAUAGAGAAUAAAGAAGGGAAAAUAAACAAAACAAUUAUACUACCAAAAUACCCAAAAUAAGAUGUAGUUUUAUCUACUUACCCAUAACUUUUGAAGUUGAACUUUAAUAAGAGUUUGAUUUCUUCUUAUAGAGAGAUAUCUAUGAUUUUCGGUGAAAGAAAAAGAGAGCUGUUGUGAGAUGGUGCUGCCGUGUAAGAACAAGGGAAGAAGAAAGAAAUAAGAACAACAAACAGGAAUAGAGAAAGAAGAAAAGGAGAUGAACUUUCUGGUGCAGCCAAGAGAAGAUAAGAGAAAUAGACUUUGUGGUGGGGCACGUGUAAUGCUAAGAGAAAAGGGUUGGUGAGUAAACCUUUAACUUUUAAAAAUUUAUUCCCCCCCCCCCCCCCCCCCCCCCCCCCCCCACCCCCCCCCCCCCCCUCCCACCCCCUUAUAAGCUUAUAUUCUAGAAAGGCCCAAACAACAAUAUGACUUUACAUAUAAACCCUUACCUUUAUAAAUUCAUUUCCAUAACAUUAAAAAGAGUAUAUAUGUUUUAUAAUAUCACAAUAUCAAAGCUUUAUGCACUUAAAUUAAUUAUAAUAAUAAUAAGCAUAUAAACCCAUAAAAUUAAUUAUGCAAUUAGGUUGGGGUGUUACAGCAAAUAGCCUGGCUUAAUUGAUAAAUCACAUGCCAAAGGUUACACCUAUCCACGGUUGGACCUCUCUUCUUAGCCAGGUUUUGCUUGAGGCCAGAUGGCGAAGAGUUCUGCUUACUUUGAUACGAGAUCUCCCUAUGCUGAGAAGAUGGCUAGAAAGCCUUAUCCCAUUAACUAUACCCUCCCAUUUUUCCAAAAUAUGAUGGCAUGAUUGGGAAUGCCAAAGAGCAUAUCAGGAGGUAUAUAGAUGCUUUAACCGCUCACUCUCAUGACUAAGAGUUGAGACUCAGGGAAUUUUUUAAGUCCUUGGAUGGUCGAGGUUUUACUUGGUAUACCAACCUUUUACCAAGGUCAUUUCUUAGUAUUGGAAUGAUAUGGCUACUCAGUUUAUGAAAAAGUUCUCUGCUUUGGAUGAAAUGCUUACUUUACCAGAUCUGCAGCAAGAGAGGUAGAAAGUCUUCAAGGGGUUACUGGACAACAUUCGUAGAUUCAGAGAACUCUCAUUGAUAUGUUAUAAUCCUAUGGAGGAAGAAAGAUUGGUGGAUAUUUGUAUUGCUCGUAUAUCGCUUGAAUACCACCCUUAUUUGGAUAACUUGCAAAUCCCUAGCUUCACAAGACUAGUGAAGGAUGCUAGAAUAAUCAGUAUGUCAGUGAAGAAACUUUCCAAGAGCUCGACUUCACAAACCAUAGUUGCUCCUAAACAAUCUUGGAAGCAAGAGAGCAAAAAGAUAAAGGCAGUUGUGGUAGAAGAGACAAAGAAGGUUACCAAAGGCAGGAAAAGGGAGAGAAGCGGUAUUCCUCCUCCUUUUUCUAUCUCAACAGAAGAGCUGUAUAGCAUCCUAGAUGCCUGGGUGAAGGAUGGUGUAGUGGUCUUGCUUGAAUGCAAACGUGAGCCAUAAAGGAUGAAAAGCGAGGUGUGCUUUACUGUAGGUAUCAUAGAAGGAGUGACCACCACACCAUGAAUUGCUACACUCUAAGAAAUAUAUUCCAUGAGAAGGUGGCUAAAGGUGAUUUAGUCAUCAAAAAUGGAAAGCGUGUAGACCAAAGGAUGCACAUACUUGAGAUAACUAUGAAAUCUUUCAUAGGCUAUGAAGACCUUAUGAAAGAUGAAGCUGUGAGCACAACCAAUAGUAGUUCUACACCUCCACCUAUGCAGGAUGAAGAGAUGGCAUUGAGAAUCUAG